GCCAGUGUGGCAUAAUGGCUUGAGCACCAGACUACAACUCUGGAGACCAGGGUUUGAAUCCCAGCUCGGCCA